GUUCAUUCUGGUAAUGAGAAAUAAUAUAAUGUUUUGUGGACGUUUUCCUUUGUUGAUCUCAGUUUUUGCUGUAAGGUAUUUAUAAAACACACAUGCAAAUAUUACAACACACAGACACACAAAUACACGCAAGCAAUAUAAGCUGUUCCUUAUCUGUGGGGUUACUGAUGCGUUAUGGGCUUCAUUUGACGUGCAAAAGCAAUGUUUUUGUUACUCUUCAAAAACCAGUAUCCCAUCCGCUUCCUAAGAGAUUGCCAACACACUGUAACACCUGGUGACAUGACCAGAUGUGUGCUAGUCAGCUGAGGGGUUUCUUAUGUGGCUUAAUGAGUCUUUAUGAGCACAAAACAUGAAGGAGGAGUUGGAAAAGACAUUGAAAAGAUGUUUACAUUUGUAUUUAUGUUGGAAAAGACAUUGAAAAUAGGUGGAAGAAAUCAUCUUUUCAGUUGUAAAAAGCGUCCUUUUGGUAAGCAUCAGAAAGAUGCAAAAAUGACGUCUUGUGCUCACUGUGGUAACUCCUCACUGUAUUUAAUAUAUUAUUUAUUAUGUUGGUGGGCUCCUAAAGUGAAUUGGACAUCAACUGGGAGACUGUUGGUGUGUGUUUCAGCGAGACUGAGGAACGUCAUUCAAACCUCUUCUAAAGAGCCGAAUUACUUUAGGAAGGACUGUUGAUUUUUUUUGUUGGGUUUAUGAAAACAAUAACCGGUAUAUGCAAGUAGAUCCACACAGUUCACAUGGUAGACUCAUAUAUUCCACACAUACAUGUAUACACAGAAUUACAAGGUGUUUGGAAACUAAAGGAGCCUAAAGCAGAACCCCCACACACACACACACACACACACACACACACACACAAACACGACUAUACACCCGUCACCUUUUAUUUGUUCUCAGGGGAUCUUUCAGUGAGCCAAGCCCGGUGCAGGGUACACAAAUGCAGGCACAUCAGCACAAUGCAUGCCCCCACCCUCUCUCACUUCCCUGGCUUACUCUCCAUCUGUCUCUUUAUCUAUCUAUUGCUCUCUUUCUCUCUCUUAUGUUCCAAAGGUUUGAUGAUAACAAAACAGAAGGGAUGAAACAAGAAUGGAUCUGUUGUGAUUCAGAAGUGAAUGAACGAAUGCUAUUGCUCUCCUGGUGCGAGGUUGUCUUUAUUUAUGAUGUUAGGUAAAUGUGGUUUUUCCUUUUGGUUAGCUUUUCUGUAUGGCAAACCUUGACCUUUGACCUAUACCUUUGUGCUGCUGUAAGGUCAGACCUGGAUUUCCUGUGUUCAGUUCCCUUCCUAGCCGGAGGCUUUCCUUUUACUAUCUAGAUUUUUUAAAAGAUGUUAUAAUUAUUUAAAAACUUGUUAAGAGAAGAUGCAGGCUGUCCCGAUUACUAUAAUUAUUGGUAUUGAUUUAUUAUUAUUAUUAUGUUGUGUAAAUAGCAACAUAUCUAAGAACAGUGAUGAAUUUAGGUACGUUUUGAAAAGAAAAUCCUGAUACCUUAGGCUGCUUGACGCAAAAUACCUCAGGUUCCAUUGAAAGGCUUUUCCUUCCCCUGUACCUGUUUUGUGAAAAUGAGACAAAAAUAC
ensembl:lncRNA